rnacentral:tRNA from 1 species
GUUCCGCGGCGGGCGGCAGGUCUACGCGCCGCCGCCGCUCGCCGCGGUGCGGGCGCGCACGCAGGCGCAGCUCGCCCGGUUCCACGCCGGCGUGAAGCG